rfam:Oryza punctata chromosome 3, whole genome shotgun sequence.
AAAUACCGCAGUUUUACACUGUUUAUGUCCAAAAGUUUAACUGUCUAUCUUAUUUGUAAUUUUUUAUGAUUAGUAUUUUUAUUGUUAUUAGAUGAUAAAAAAUAUAUAAUACUUUAUAUGUGAUUAAUUUUUUUAAAUUUUUUCUUAAAUUUUUCAAAUAAGACGGACGAUCAAACGUAACAUGAAAACUCACGGCUGCACUUAAA